rnacentral:ncRNA from 1 species
GCAAAAGCAAUGAAGGUGUUAAGUAGAGAACUGUACUGCUUACAGAGAGAGAGGAUCACCGGCUGCAAAUCCUUUUAAGAGAAGACAGGAAUCGAAUUUCCCACCGGAGCUGCAUAUCUGAAACAGGUUUCAGGAGUAGGAUAUGACGUAGCCUGCACGUUACGCAGAAAGAGUGUCCGGUAUCCCUGUAUUCGGAAGAAUGCAGCAGAAGGAAACCGGAAAAUCAGGGUGGUACCGCGGAAUAUUUCGCCCCUGUG